rnacentral:rRNA from 1 species
GACGAACGCUGGCGGCGUGCUUAACACAUGCAAGUCGAACGGUGAAGGGACUGGUUUUGCUGGUCCUGGAUGAGUGGCGAACGGGUGAGUAACAUGUGAGUAACCUGCCCCCUUCUUCUGGAUAACCGCAUGAAAGUGUGGCUAAUACGGGAUAUUCUGGGUCUGUCGCAUGGUGGGCCUGGGAAAGAUUGCGCCUUUUUUGGUGUUUUUGGUGGGGGAUGGGCUCGCGGCCUAUCAGCUUGUUGGUGGGGUGAUGGCCUAGCAAGGCGGUGACGGGUAGCCGGCCUGUGAGGGUGGACGGUCACACUGGGACUGAGACACGGCCCAGACUCCUACGGGGGGCAGCAGUGGGGAAUAUUGCACAAUGGGCGCAAGCCUGAUGGAGCGACGCCGCGUGAAGGGUGGAGGCCUUCGGGUUGUGAACCUCUUUCGCCAGUGAAGCAGGCCUGCCUCUUUUUGUGAGUGGGUUGACGGUAGCUGGAUAAGAAGCGCCGGCUAACUACGUG